GAGCAACUUUCACUCAUUCAUAUAUAAAUUAUGAGGUGUCACUGGCCUGUCUUUUAAGGUAGAAUCUGUUCGGCCUCCUGUUUGCAUUUGUACACUAGAAUGUAAUGGAACUUGGUGCCUUCAAGGGUUACCUCUUCAGUGGGUUAGAGGUGCUGUUUCAAGCACAAUUUAGACUAGGGUUGAACCACUCAUUGUUCAAAUCAUUGGUGCACUCAGAUAUUGCAAAUUAUCACUACGUCAGUCCACAAACAAUAAGGUUUAAACCUACUAAAGGAAAUGGAAUUAGACUUUUUAGACUAUAAUGAUGCAUGUUGUUAUCAAUGAGUAAAACAAGAGCAGUCUAAAAGCAAAAAUAAUUUAGGUAUAUCAUUCUUCCCAUCAAGUAAGUUUUGCUGUUCUCUUUAUACUCUAAAAAAUCAUUUUGUCCUUUUGUAGUUGAAAAGAAACAUAAAUCAAGUAGUAAUAAGUUACUUUACUCUCUGGUCAAAUACUCAGUGGCUACUGAUCUUAGUUGAGAAUUAAAAAAAUCAUAUCAGACUCACAGACCCAGGAAUUGACCUUAAGUGUUGCUGCUUCUCACUCCUGGACAGAAAUGCUAUUUAGUGGCACUAGUCAAUUUAAGUGAAUGACCCAGGUGGAGAUGAAUCCCACAAGGCAACUGUAGAAAUUUAAUUUCAUAUCUUUGGUUUGCAAGCUUCCAAAGAAUCAAGGAUUCAUGUUUUAAAACAUUGGUCCUGAAUAUCCAGCCUAGGGAGUUAAUCUUGCUGGUGGGACCUUUUGAGUUGGCCCUUUUUCUCCCCAGUCAGUCAUUUGGCUGUAUUUUAAAUUAUGCAUUGCUCAGGAUAGUAUUGGGCCAUCUUCUAGAUCUUUGGGACACAUUUUGAUGAAAACAUAUUUUGUUUCACUGUGUGCUGAAUUAGGGUAGGAUCAAUUAAUAAACCUUGGUUUUGGCUUAGUGCUUUAGAAUGUCUGACAUUCUUCCUCCCCCUGCGCUCCACCCCUUAGGAAACACUGUGCAGCAGUACCCAAGGUUGAAAAAGAGGUCCUGAGUAGCCAGGAAAUAAACUUGCUGUAUUGUAUAUGUUGAAACCUACCCUUCUCCUGCCCUCUAAUAGUAUGUUUACAUUAUUUGGUUAUUGCGCAACUUUUAUCUUGAGAUAAACAGUAUUAAACUGAAGGUGUAAGUUAAAGGCAGUGUCAUACUGUCAGCUGAUGUGGGCAGUUUUAUCUGUAUGUUACUUUUUUGGGGACUUUAUAUGGCUAGGGUUUCCAAGUAGUGUUCUGAGACAACUUACAGAGAGGUUUGCAAACUUAUGGUUUCCCUCUGAAAUCCACUGUAGCAUUGGAUAUUGAGUAUUUAAACGUUACCAUCCGCUUUGUAUUGACACAUUUUUCAUUUUUUUGUGUUAACUCAUGAACUGUUUAUUUAAGUAAUAAUGCAAAUCCAAGCUUCAUCCAAUGAUGAAAAUAGCAGUAUGAUAGAAGAUUUUGCUGAGUGUGCUUAAAAUGCAUAAUGGCUUUAUCUUCUUUAGUAUUUCAUAGAUUUUGCAUGACAUGUACACUCCUAAUUAUGCAUUCUGUGGUUUCCAAAUCUUAACUGAAGACAUUCAAUGUUAACCUAAGAAAGAGCUUUCUCUGCCUGUUUUUACCCUCCCCCAGUGUUUUUAAUAAAUUAUGGGAAAAUCAAUGCUAUUUCUCAUUUUCUGGAUGAAGCAAAGCUCUGCUGGAGAGCACAACCUGACUGUAUAGCUAGACAGAAUGGCUGUUAAGAAUAUUUAGAAAAUCCAAAUAUAUCAAAUUAUGAGAAAUAAUAAAUAAUUCAUUAAUAAUAUGUGCUUAAUUUUUGAAGUUACUUUGGAAAAUUGUUCAAAUUGGGUUCUUUUAAGCUUAUUUUAAUCAGCUUAGAAGCAAGAAGCUACUUAGCUAAUGAAAGCUGUGACAUACUUCAUAAAAGCAGGAAAUUCUUGAGAGCAUUUAAUAAUGGGAGGAUGUUAUGUCAAGAUUUAUACUCUCAGAUAACCUGUAAGAAUAAAAUUUUAAAUCCCUGACUUUUGUAGCAUUCCCACUGUCAAAUUCUCACUGACUUGUGAGUGUGGAAAAAGGUAUCUUUUGCUUGAAUUCUGGUAGAAGAGUUCAACUCUUUUCAAAAGAUAUGAAAAAUUCAUUGGAAAAUACGUAUACAUUUCAAAGUCUCUCAGUUAUCUGGACUGAAGGCACUGUUCUCACUGUGGCCAGAUGAAUGGGAGGGUCCUGUACCUGAAUCAUGCUAUAUAUUAAAUCAGGACAUCGUUAGGUAUUAAUGUUGUGUGUACAGAUUUUUGUUUGGGGUUGUUAUUUUUUUUUUUUUGCUUAAAUAAAUGUUACAAAUUUUAUGUAAA
rnacentral:lncRNA from 1 species